rnacentral:rRNA from 1 species
AGAACUUAGCAGAGAUGCUUUGGUGCCUUCGGGAACUCUGAGACAGGUGCUGCAUGGCUGUCGUCAGCUCGUGUUGUGAAAUGUUGGGUUAAGUCCCGCAACGAGCGCAACCCUUAUCCUUUGUUGCCAGCGGUUAGGCCGGGAACUCAAAGGAGACUGCCAGUGAUAAACUGGAGGAAGGUGGGGAUGACCGUCAAGUCAUCAUGGCCCUUACGAGUAGGGCUACACACGUGCUACAAUGGCGCAUACAAAGAGAAGCGACCUCGCGAGAGCAAGCGGACCUCAUAAAGUGCGUCGUAGUCCGGAUUGGAGUCUGCAACUCGACUCCAUGAAGUCGGAAUCGCUAGUAAUCGUGGAUCAGAAUGCCACGGUGAAUACGUUCCCGGGCCUUGUACACACCGCCCGUCACACCAUGGGAGUGGGUUGCAAAAGAAGUAGGUAGCUUAACCUUCGGGAGGGCGCUUACCACUUUGUGAUCCAUGACUGGGGUGAAGUCGUAACAAGGUAAGCGUAGUGCU